GGAUGCUGCUUUGAUAAGCAAUGAGUAUGGUUGUUUUCCACAAUUUACAGGUCAUGCUUUAUUCGUAUUUAACACAUUCUCUCGGCUACAUGAUUGGUUAGUAAGUGGUGUUUGGGAGUGUUUUUCAAUUAAUCUAUUGAUUUUUUUGAAAAAGUUUUGCUUUCGGAAAAAAUAAUUAUUUACACUAAAAAUUUAAUAUUUACCAAAUACUUUUUUAAUUUAUUGAUAUUUAAAAAAAACAAAUAAAUUAAUACUACGUAUUUGAAAAACUAAUAAAUUAAUAAGUAAUUUUGAAAUGGACUCCACACACGCCAGAGUAAAAGAUGGAUUCAGCAAGAGGCCGUCGGAAGUUGAAAAGUUAGGGUUAGAGUCCGUCGGGAAAGACAAACAAUGUGGCGGAUCGAAGAUAAGGAUUUUCGAAAUUAAGAAACGCCGGCAGCUUUCCGUGCUAUGUGACGUUGAUGUGGCCGUCGUUGUAUUCUCCGCCCGCGGCAAGCUCUAUGAAUCCCACAAUGGCGGUAACAGUGAACAUGGUUUAGAGGACGUAAAGAGCUUCUAUAUAUAGACCUGACCACACCAAAUAAGGUCAGCAAGAUGAUGUAAAUUGGUUCACUCAGCUCUCCAGUAGAAUAGCUGAAUUAGCAAGCCAAGCCAAGCCAAGCAAAGCAUUCAUUGAAAUGCAACUCUUUAAUUGUAAAGGCAGGCUUGCUUGUUGAAGAGUAAGUGCAAACACAGCUAGCUGAGAAAGGUGAUCUUUUUUUGUCUGCUGCUACUUGUAUGAGAUUUAAAUAAAAGGAAACAACAAUUAUCGAAUCAAAUAUAAAAAAAAGUGUGGAAUCUGGAAUGUCACCUCCUCUAUGGUCUGGUUGGAUUAAUGGCUCAUGUUAGUUUUGACUUUGAGAA